AUAUUGGGAGAACUGUCAACUCCUUUUUGGCACAAGUAUUCCAUGAAAAGCAUUGUACAAACUCUGUUUUGGAGGGUAGCAAGCUAAUCUAAACCUUCAUUCUGUUACAUAUUAUUUUCUCCUAAUAUCAACGUACAUAAAUAAAUGAGUUAGUCUUAAAAGAGAAGUUGUGCAGUUUUGAAAUAGUUUAACAAGAUGAUAAUAAAUUUUAGAUCACAAUUAAAACUUGCGUUUCGAAUAUUGUUGUGGUUGUAUUUAACACGUGUUUCAUUUGCUAUUUUGGAUGAAAACAUAAACACACUAGUGGAUUUAAAUGAACCUUGCCAACUAAGGACUCCAAUGGCGUUAAGUUCUGCAACAAAAUGCAAAAUCGGCCUCAAGUUGUUUGAUAAUCUUUGUAGAAAGAUAAAAAAAAAAAUUGAAUAAAUAUUGUUGCAAUUUUGUACUCUC